rnacentral:rRNA from 1 species
GGAGCACGCUUAGGCGUGUGACUGCGUACCUUUUGUAUAAUGGGUCAGCGACUUAUAUUCUGUAGCAAGGUUAACCGAAUAGGGGAGCCGAAGGGAAACCGAGUCUUAACUGGGCGUUAAGUUGCAGGGUAUAGACCCGAAACCCGGUGAUCUAGCCAUGGGCAGGUUGAAGGUUGGGUAACACUAACUGGAGGACCGAACCGACUAAUGUUGAAAAAUUAGCGGAUGACUUGUGGCUGGGGGUGAAAGGCCAAUCAAACCGGGAGAUAGCUGGUUCUCCCCGAAAGCUAUUUAGGUAGCGCCUCGUGAAUUCAUCUCCGGGGGUAGAGCACUGUUUCGGCAAGGGGGUCAUCCCGACUUACCAACCCGAUGCAAACUGCGAAUACCGGAGAAUGUUAUCACGGGAGACACACGGCGGGUGCUAACGUCCGUCGUGAAGAGGGAAACAACCCAGACCGCCAGCUAAGGUCCCAAAGUCAUGGUUAAGUGGGAAACGAUGUGGGAAGGCCCAGACAGCCAGGAUGUUGGCUUAGAAGCAGCCAUCAUUUAAAGAAAGCGUAAUAGCUCACUGGUCGAGUCGGCCUGCGCGGAAGAUGUAACGGGGCUAAACCAUG